UACAGAGGUGGCAAGCGUUGUUCGGAAUUACUUGUCGUAAAGGGCGCGUAGGCGGUUCGUUAAGUCCUGUGUGAAAUCCCCCGGCUCAACUGGGGAACUGCACAGGAAACUAGCGGGCUUGAGUUCGGGAGAGGGAAGCGGAAUUCCGGGUGUAGCGGUGAAAUGCGUAGAUAUCCGGAGGAACACCGGUGGCGAAGGCGGCUUCCUGGACCGACACUGACGCUGAGGCGCGAAAGCUAGGGGAGCAAACGGG
rnacentral:rRNA from 1 species